UUCAUGAUGUAGCUUUCAAACUAGAGUCUCUGACGAGGCGUGAUUACAGCAUGCAGCUCUGAUCU
rnacentral:snoRNA from 1 species